CCCUACUGCUAUCGGGGUGGGACUAAGACAUGCGAGUUGUGCGUCUCUAAGCUAUGGUAGAGACGCGGCGUACGGCUCAGUAACACGUGGCUAACCUACCCUUAGGACGGGGACAACCCCGGGAAACUGGGGCUAAUACCUGAUAGGUGAGGAGGCCUGGAAUGGUUCUUCGCUGAAAAGGCGUUGAAACCAUGCUUUUCAGCGUCGCCUAAGGAUGGGGCCGCGUCCGAUCAGGUUGUUGGUGGGGUAACGGCUCACCAAGCCUAUAACCGGUACGGGCCGUGAGAGCGGGAGCCCGGAGAUGGGCACUGAGACAAGGGCCCAGGCCCUACGGGGCGCAGCAGUCGCGAAAACUCCGCAAUGCGCGAAAGCGUGACGGGGCUACCCCGAGUGCCGUCCGCUGAGGAUGGCUUUUCCCCGGUGUAAUGAGCCGGGGGAAUAAGGAGAGGGCAAGUCUGGUGUCAGCCGCCGCGGUAAUACCAGCUCUCCGAGUGGUAGGGACGAUUAUUGGGCUUAAAGCGUCCGUAGCCGGCUUAGCAAGUCUUCUGUUAAAUUCAGCGACCUAAUCGUUGAGCCGCGGGAGAUACUACUAGGCUAGGAGGCGGGAGAGGCCGACGGUAUUCUCGGGGUAGGGGUGAAAUCCUAUAAUCCCGGGAGGACCACCAGUGGCGAAGGCUGUCGGCUAGAACGCGCUCGACGGUGAGGGACGAAAGCUGGGGGAGCGAACCGGAUUAGAUACCCGGGUAGUCCCAGCUGUAAACGAUGCGGGCUAGGUGUUGGGGUGGCCACGAGCCACUUCAGUGCCGCAGGGAAGCCAUUAAGCCCGCCGCCUGGGGAGUACGGCCGCAAGGCUGAAACUUAAAGGAAUUGGCGGGGGAGCACCACAAGGCGUGAAGCUUGCGGUUC
rnacentral:rRNA from 1 species